AUGUUACAAUAAUUUUACAUUAUACAAUUAUCGGAGUGAUUACAAGAGAAAAAGAUUCAAAAGAAUUACAAAUUUGAAAUGUUAUAAAAUAUUUGUAAAUUUGAAGAUACAUGCUAGCUUAAGUGACAAUCCUCAAUAUAGAAGCUAAAGAUGGGAUAUACUUAUAUAAGAAGGCCGAGCCCACCGGCACUUAGCACCAUCCACAACAGAACAAAAUUACAACCUGAAAAACAACAGGGAAUAAACCCCUGAGUACGCAAUUACUCAGCAAGACUUACCCGACUAAAGAAAAGACUCUCAAGGGUAUGCAGGUUUAUUGGGAAUCAAGGUAAAGCUUAUCAAAUUUCAAAGACUCAUUUUGCAGAAAAGCUUACUAGUAGUGGAUCCUUAUGCCAAGCUUUUACUUCACAGAUUAAGUACUUUUCCUGAAUCUAGAUUUGCCUAAUCUAGAGCAUUCACUUGUCCUACACUAGCUUCGUUUUAGCAGCUUUAGUUUCACUUGUUAUCUACGAUGCAGGGCAGUGAUCCAGUCUUCAUAUCCGAGAAGUAACGGCGAUCCGAAUCGAUUAAUACUCAGCUGAGGAUCUCCAACCACACGACAUAUGUAGCACUUAACCCUUGCAUAUGUCAACUCGCCCACAGUUUUCUCAAGACCAGAACGGGUUCACGCGACCCGAGAGCACAGCACUCCACCGUCCAGCCGUUGGUACACGUUACUCUCGCCAUAGUGCCCGCCAUGUUUCCGAGAGUACAACACCCCACCUUCCAGUCUCUUGCCACGGAGGGUACAAGCUACUCUCGCCAUCUCUCCACUCCCAGUGCGUGCGAGCUGUUCUGGUAUUGGUCCGACCGAGGCUAAGCUUACCCAUGACGAGGCAUGUGGCCAGUUAAAGGGUCCUAGAUCAGCAAGCCUACUUUCGGUACGGUCCUUAAUCGACACAGACGGGCGACCUUUCCUGCUCAACGUCUGGUCUCAUCUUAUUAUUUAACACCCAAAUCAUGUACCUGACAGAGGUACCAUACUUGAAUGAUGAAUUCAUCACUGCAGAUGAUGCGCUCACCAUUACAAGUCUCUUUUCAUAAAACAAACCCAUAACCAGUGUCACACAUCAUUCUUUUAAAAAGAAACAAGUUUUAAUUCUCUAGGCAGGGCUAAGCCUCAUUAGUUCUUUUUGUAAAACAGGUAUCAAGGAGGAUAAUCAAAUUCCAAGGAAUGGUAAUGCAUCAAUUGUUUAUUCACACAACUCCUAUCACCUAAUGCAGCAGGUAAGUGAUAAAAGUUUUUUAAAUAGAAGGAGGUGGCAAAUGCACCGGGGCUUGCCUGGGAUAAACAUUAUGUUAGUGUUGUUAAUUGACGACCACUUGGUAAGUAUCUUCCAUUCUGGUGCUGGCUUGAUGCAUCCACAAGAUUAAUCCUCCAAUACCAUCUCAUGGUUCGCUCUGAUCCAUGUCCUUCAGCUCGCAUAAUCAUCUAGCGUACCUAUUGGAAAUGCAUAAUGCAUAUGAGCAUGGACAUGAAUAGCAUGAGAUAGAUGUUCUAUACUAAAGAGGGUAAACACUUAAAAGAAGUCAUCAUAACUCCUAUGAGCGCACUAGAUGUGAAGAUAUUACUAUGUACCACAAGCACAUCUUUUACACAUAAAUAGGCCUAACGCAAGUAUCAGGCACUCAUACACGCUUAUAAACACAAGACAAUCCAAUCAACUCAAUAAUACUAGAUAUAAAUGUCUACUAACCUUUUUCGCAUUAUUGAUUCACCAUACUCACACAAAACCUAAAUAGUCACUAAUUCAAAUUUACUCACCAAAGUAUUUACUUCAUUCCCAAUUACUAAAGUCUAAAUCAAACAGUAAGAAGGAAAUGAAUUAAUCAAGUAUAACCAGGCAUUUCGAUAAACACUUCAUAUGCAACAAGUUGGUAUCAAUCAAGGACCAAGGAUUAACUAAUCCUCCCUAGGCAAACAAAAAUGACACCAAGAAAUCAGUUUAACACAUGCAGAUUUUCUAGACAGCAGCACAGCAGUUAACUGUUUUAUUCAUAACUCACAAAAUAUGCAUCCAAAAAUAGUAAACUAGGACUUUCUGGAAAGCUUAGAAAGUCCUCCACGAUUUUGGUAUUAUCAUCACAGUGAGAUUCAACAUAUAGAAAUGUCAAACAGUACUAAACGCAAUUUCUGUCCAGAUUUGGACAGAAUUCGGCCACUCACUUUAAAAUUCCGUAACUGGAGUUUCAGCCAUCCAAAUCAGGUGAUCCUAGACUUUUUAGAAAGUUAAUAUAAUUGUCUACAAUUCAUUUAUAAUCAUCUCAAGGUGAUUCAAUGUGUAUCAAAGUCAGUUAAUUCAAACACACAUUGUUGUCCAGAUUUUUAACAGAUUCAAACAUUACAUUUCAAACAGCCAUAACUUGAUUUCUAGACCACCAAAAGGGGUGAUCCAAGACUUUUUGGAAAGCCUAUAAAACGUACUAUAACUUCUUUAUAAUUACUAAGAGCUGAUUCUCAGUUUUACUUAAUCAAACAAUCCAAUUUUCGAAACCUGUACAGAAUUUGGACAGAUUCUGAAACUGGACUUGGAAAAAUCACAACUCCUAAACUGCUAGUCCUAUGGUCAUGAAAUUUUAGCACAAGCAAGAUAAAGGAGUUAUCUAUAACUUUUCUAUAUAACAUUUUCACAGAAAAGAUGAUUUACUUUGCUAAACUAGCUUUAUAAUUAAAAUCGUACCUACAGCCCUAAACAGCAGGAAUUCUAGUUUAGUUCCUAUUUAAGUUAACCACACCUUACCAACUCUUUUAUCAAAGCAUCCAUUGCCUAAUUUGCAUCAUAAACCAAUCUUUAGAUCAAACAAUACUUUGGCUUCAUAAUACUAAUGCACCUAUUUCAUAACAUGAAACUAUACAAUACACCAUAUGCACAUGAUUCAUCCAUUGCACUAUUAAGAAUCCACCACAACCUUGCAUAUAUUUCUACCAUGACAUAUUGCAUAAUUUGCAUUUAAGAACUAAACUGUAACGCAUGACUCGACUACUUCAAAAUCCUGAAUCCAUUCAUUUCAUAUAAUUUGCAAUUCAAACUUAAAGUCAUAUCGCAACGAAGAACCGCUUUCAUGACACUAUGCACAUUUCAUUUAGCACAAAUAUCGACUCCCUACAAAUCAACCAUUUAUUCGAUUAACGGAAACAACGGGUCGACUUACCACGACUAAACUCAAAGCGGCGUCCACAAACACGGCGAUGGCUUUGGGUUCAGUCUUUCUAUCAGACACCUGUCAAGCCCCACCCGGAUCUCGCUUGCUUUCACCCAACAUCCGGGAUUCGCUCCACACAACCACACAUAAAUAUACACAUGAUUAAUUUCUUAUAAGCGACGCCGAGAAACAAAACACCCAAGUAAGAACAUAACCUCAUGGUCGUGCAAAAACUUGCGGUGUCACGGAUGAAGAACGAGGAUGAACUCUGGUCAAUCCUCCCGUCGAACACAUGGCGUGCGUCGUGGACAUUGGACUGCUCCGGCGUGCUGCUGCUCGCAUAGAGACAAGGAGGGAUGCUGCUGGGGAAGAAAUAGAAGCAGUGAAGGCGAAGUCGCCAUGGGGAGAGGAGUAGAGACGACAGCCUUCGGAGUUCGGACAUGGGGCGAGCUUGGCAUGGGAUCUGCCACCAUGGGGAAGAGACCUGGGCGCCCAUGGAGAGGAGCGUGACUAGCAAAGAACCAAGAGGGAGAGGGCUAGGGCAAACUCGACUGGGACACCAUGGGAGGAACAGGAGCAGGGAGUACGGGCGACCGGUGCCUAGAGGUUGAGGACCGACGCCAUGGGAAACUGGAGCACGCCACAAACAGAGAGGGGCUAGGCGAGCUGGGACUGGACGCCAUGGCUGCUUGCCGCUGCUGGCAUGGGGAGAAACCAGGGAGCAGAGAGGGGCAGCCAUGAGGGGGCUGGGAACCUGGCUCGGGGCUUUGACGCCAUGGGAGGGGUAGGGAGAGGAGUGCCCAAGUGGUGGCUGCCGCAGGGAUGAACGCCAGGGAAGAGGAUGGCGUGAGGGAGUUCGGUUGGAGCUUGAGGAAGAGAUGAGGAUGAAGGAGAAAUGACGUGUGUAGCUUCUAGGAAAUAAUGGGCAGCGUGGAUAAGAAGGAGAGGAGCUUGAGCGGUGGAGAAGAUAAGAGAAAAAUUCAGAUUUUUUCCUUCUCCAAUCUUUAACCAAAAGAAUACCCAAAUAAGUGAAAAAAUCUGGGAUUUGAAUCCGGGCGAGAUGCAAACAGACCCAUCAAAACAAUAUAAAUUUUAAUAUUUUUGGACUACGCUAACACUGUUAGGUAUUUUCGGGAUCAGGCAAAUUUUCACAGUUGUAGACAGUGGAACAGAUUAAUUACGAGUACUCAUUUCGGUUCUAGUUAUCUCGGUCCGAUUUAAUUUUUGCAGCACUUCUAUCGUGAAGUUCUAGUAAUAUUUACUUGGGCAAAAAUACAAGAGUGGAUCGGGAUUCCAAAUUCAUGUUCUCUUAAUCCAUAAAUUCUAAACAAACACCAGGCUCGACAUUUCGCGAAAUAAAUACGCGAGAUCGAUCCGGCAUCGAAAUUGUGAUCCCUUCGGAAGCGAAGUCACACAUCGUUCACGUGGGCGAGAGGCUGUGCGCUGUCUAGACACCGCUUAACACCAGCCACGCGCCACGAUGCCAGGCCACAGAGAGACACGGGCAACAUAAGCGUGAAAGGAUUUCAAAUGAAGUUUAAGAAACCAGAUCCGAUUUCCAGAAUUAAAGUUUGGGCAAGACGUUGAUGGCUUAACCCAAACGAUACUGGAGUCGAUGUUCCGAAAUUACUAAAGUCUGAAUUUUGCAAAAUAAAUUAGGACAAUUUAGACAGAUGGAGACAGACACGAUAUCAAAAUCGUGAUAGACGAGGAUGAUUAAAAUUUAGUGACCUUUACAUUCACAGCUAUCACGUGUUAACGUCCGCACUCGUGGUCGAGUAGAUGAUAAACACCUGGGGUGUUACAACCUUCCCCCUUAAAAGAAUCUCGUCCCGAGAUUCAGAACGAAAGACUUCUAAGAGUAGAGAGGCAUAUAACCCUGUCCAUAAUAGUGACAGCAUAAGCUAAUUCCAAGCAAAGACGAGCAUCUCAAAAUGUUGCUUCUCUAGUGGGUAUAGCACAUACCAUUUUAGUUCAACUAGAGACGUCAAUAAACAAGCUAUAACUGACAAAAGAACACAUAAGGUUCCAUGUGUGCAGUUUACUUUUUCUGAUGACACGGUACUAUCUGAGUCUAUUGAAAACGGUGGACAAAUGGAUAGCAAUUCCUAGCACAUGAGACGAGUGUGGAUGUCAAACAACAUCACAAUUAACUCGUGGUUAGCCAGGGAAUCCAAGUCCAAGAAAAAUGAUAGAGAUUCAAGGAAUGUAGGGAUCUGUAGAUGUUGACCUUGUGUCCAAUCCAUUUUAUCAAGCACUAAGCAUGGCUCGGCUUGAUCACACAUGUUAGAAAAUCACAUGUGAGGCGAUUGAGACACAACUAGAACUGUGGUCGGGCUAUUACCAGUUAGCUGAGGAUGGCAAAAUACCUCGGACAACAAUGUCGAGUUAAGAUGCAUAUGCUCAUAAUCUAAUCCAAUAUGGCCCAAGACCUGCGCAUAUGUUCAUAACCUUCACUUGGUCUUCAUAAAGGUUUCUUCAGGAUAGGCUGAACUAAAGUGAGUUUAGACAACUCGAUAAAACGAUCUCUAAACUCAACCUUUGUUCAUUGGGCAGUUACAAGUUAGUAAAACCAACUUGUUGAACUACUUUUGACAUUGAGCAAGUCCUCUUAUUACCCGUCGGCAAACCAGAGGUUGGGAGUUUACAUUUACGAGUACGAGGGCAUGCAUUUGGAUAAGGAUUCAGUUGAUCAGAUUAUUUAUUCAUCUCCUCCACACGAGACAAAAUAACAUGUGUAUUAGAUGUAUGAAUCCAAUAAGGAGGCGAAUGAACAAACUCCUGCAUUUAGCAGCAAGGGAAGUCAAUCUCCAUUUUGAGAACUAAUCAGUUGUCACCCAACACUAAAAAGCUUCAAGGCUUCACCUUUGUAGAAAGGGUAGCGGAGGGAAGCUGUAUAUGGGUAGUCACCACCAAAAUCAAGAAAAAUGAGACUACACCGAUAAGAAUGGUUACAGGUAGAAAGCCAAAUAGGUCCUGGCCCGAUGAAAGGAACACGAGAUUGCCAAAACCUAAAAUGGUUGAUGAGGGAGUACGAUGGAAGACUAUUAUUUCAGCCCCAAGCAUAUUUCUAUGCCCAUCGCAGAAAUUUCAAGGUCAAGGAUGAGCAUCUAAUUAGAUACAGAGAGGUAAUGAUCAUAAAAUUAAACUGAUAAGUCUUCGAGAGAUAUGAGGAAACCAAAGGCAUUGAACUCAAGGAAAUGAUCGGACAUGUCUUUCCUGGGUUAGGUUGAUAAAAUAACGACAUGGUCCCCAAGAAGAUACAGAGUGGAAUAGAAACAUCAGCUUGCACCAAGCGAGUAAAGGCAUGAUUUUGGAUGAAAAAAAUGACUACAAAAGAGUCACGUUUUAAACAACGAGAACACGUACUCGAGAUCCUUGUUUUAAGCUCAGGUGCAUUUAUUUUCUACGAUAAGAUUACCUAAACACCAAUUUAGAUAAACUUGGUCCUAAAGUAACGAUGGAAAUUUAAACUCGUCCACUUUUGGAAACUGGGGAAAAACUUUGGGAAAUUAACAUCGAUUUGGGUCAUGGCUCCUAGAUGAGGACAUGGCCAAAUUUUAGGUUUAUGCAAACAAGUCACCAAUAUUCUAUCGGCACACAGGCACAAAAAUAAACAUAAGUUGCACUAUCAGUCAAACUAAGAAGAACCACAGACCACAUAAACACAUGUCUAAAGGACACAUCAAACAAAGCUAGAAAUUGCUUAUAGAACAGUAAUACUUCAUACAGUUUCCAAUUAUUUAUUAUCGGGAUAAAGAUGAGAAAAGCAUGUUCGUUCACAAUCACCUAUUAUUAGAAUAAAGGUGAGGAAAGUAUUUCUGUGCGCAAACAACAAACACAAUGCAACAAUCGGGAUGCAUGCUCGUCCUAUUCGUCCUCACGAAUUUCGCCAACAUAAUAUGGCAAUAGCGUUCUAUAUCGGUGGCAUACUUACGACUCUCACGGUAUUUUGCUAGUCGUCAGCUAAACAUACGAGUUCGAAGUUAGUGUACCUGCAGAAAAUUUCAUCACAGCCCAUUUCCUAAUGAUGCAAUUCACACAUGACAGUUUAUCAUAGUUUAUACUCCAUAUAUUUCUAUAUGGAGGCCAGCUCCUCAUUAAGCGCCGAGCCACGCAUAGGCGCCGCUGCCACACUUUAACCAUAGGGCAGCUCAUUAUGGUAACUCACCUUCUUACCUGAGCGUAGGUGCGUCGUUGCAAAUACAUUACACUUCUCAGUAUUCCCAUGUCUGUAUACCCAUACACAUCCAUGGGGUACUGAAUCCCGAAAAAGUAAUUACUCCACAUCGCAGCCUUCAUAUAUACAUAUGUGUAACAUGUAUAUAAUCAAGCGCCACAAUUAAGCACUCCCCUAGACCGACGUUUGUCCGGUCACGCUCUCACAUCUCACCUUACCUGAGCGUCGAUCCAUUCAAGACUGAAUGGCCUCAAAAACAACAUUACACAUGUAUGCAUCACCCUUCCCAGGUUGUGGGUUAGUAUUCUGAACUAAGCCACCUAGUAGUCCUUAACUUAGGGCUUAUAGAGGAUGUCGCUAGCAUUAUAGUUUUUCAAAUAUGUUUUUCAAAACCAAACAAUGUGUUUAGUUGAAAAUAGAUUUUCCAAAACCAAAAUUUUGUUUUGAAAAUACGUAUGUGACCGUAUCAUACUUAAUCAAGCUCCGAUACCAGCUGUCGCAGAACCUCCCAAGUUAUCGGGCCCACAUGCACCUGUCCUUGUCUCAACGACCUCAGACGGCUAUGCAUGUGCACCAAACAACUUAACAGGAUCUGUCCGAGUGCCCCGAGGACCCCGGAUAAACGACUUACCGCCAAGAUCGCAGGAUUAAGUAAACACAACUCACAUACAAACACUUGCAGCGGAAAUAAAUUCUUUAUUACAAAAUGAUUACAUGUUACAAUAAUUUUACAUUAUACAAUUAUCGGAGUGAUUACAAGAGAAAAUGAUUCAAAAGAAUUACAAAUUUGAAAUGUUAUAAAAUAUUUGUAAAUUUGAAGAUACAUGCUAGCUUAAGUGACAAUCCUCAAUACUUAUAUAAGAAGGCCGAGCCCACCGGCACUUAGCACCAUCCACAACAGAACAAAAUUACAACCUGAAAAACAACAGGGAAUAAAACCCUGAGUACGCAAUUACUCAGCAAGACUUACCCGACUAAAGAAAAGACUCUCAAGGGUAUGCAGGUUUAUUGGGAAUCAAGGUAAAGCUUAUCAAAUUUCAAAGACUCAUUUUGCAGAAAAGCUUACUAGUAGUGGAUCCUUAUGCCAAACUUUUACUUCACAGAUUAAGUACUUUUCCUGAAUCUAGAUUUGCCUAAUCUAGAGCAUUCACUUGUCCUACACUAGCUUCGUUUUAGCAGCUUUAGUUUCACUUGUUAUCUACGAUGCAGGGCAGUGAUCCAGUCUUCAUAUCCGAGAAGUAACGGCGAUCCGAAUCGAUUAAUACUCAGCUGAGGAUCUCCAACCACACGACAUAUGUAGCACUUAACCCUUGCAUAUGUCAACUCGCCCACGGUUUUCUCAAGACCAGAACGGGUUCACGCGACCCGAGAGCACAACACUCCACCGUCCAGCCGUUGGCCUGGUUGGUACACGUUACUCUCGCCAUGGUGCCCGCCAUGUUUCCGAGAGUACAGCACCCCACCUUCCAGUCUCUUGCCACGGAGGGUACAAGCUACUCUCGCCAUCUCUCCACUCCCAGUGCGUGCGAGCUGUUCUGGUAUUGGUCCGACCGAGGCUAAGCUUACCCAUGACAAGGCAUGUGGCCAAUUAAAGGGUCCUAGAUCAGCAAGCCUACUUUCGGUACGGUCCUUAAUCGACACAGACGGGCGACCUUUCCUGCUCAACGUCUGGUCUCAUCUUAUUAUUUAACACCCAAAUCAUGUACCUGACAGAGGUACCAUACUUGAAUGAUGAAUUCAUCACUGCAGAUGAUGCGCUCACCAUUACAAGUCUCUUUUCAUAAAACAAACCCAUAACCAGUGUCACACAUCAUUCUUUUAAAAAGAAACAAGUUUUAAUUCUCUAGGCAGGGCUAAGCCUCAUUAGUUCUUUUUGUAAAACAGGUAUCAAGGAGGAUAAUCAAAUUCCAAGGAAUGGUAAUGCAUCAAUUGUUUAUUCACACAACUCCUAUCACCUAAUGCAGCAGGUAAGUGAUAAAAGUUUUUUAAAUAGAAGGAGGUGGCAAAUGCACCGGGGCUUGCCUGGGAUAAACACUAUGUUAGUGUUGUUAAUUGACGACCACUUGGUAAGUAUCUUCCAUUCUGGUGCUGGCUUGAUGCAUCAACAAGAUUAAUCCUCCAAUACCAUCUCAUGGUUCGCUCUGAUCCAUGUCCUUCAGCUCGCAUAAUCAUCUAGCGUACCUAUUGGAAAUGCAUAAUGCAUAUGAGCAUGGACAUGAAUAGCAUGAGAUAGAUGUUCUAUACUAAAGAGGGUAAACACUUAAAAGAAGUCAUCAUAACUCCUAUGAGCGCACUAGAUGUGAAGAUAUUACUAUGUACCACAAGCACAUCUUUUACACUUAAAUAGGCCUAACGCAAGUAUCAGGCACUCAUACACGCUUAUAAACACAAGACAAUCGAAUCAACUCAAUAAUACUAGAUAUAAAUGUCUACUAACCUUUUUCGCAUUAUUGAUUCACCAUACUCACACAAAACCUAAAUAGUCACUAAUUCAAAUUUACUCACCAAAGUAUUUACUUCAUUCCCAAUUACUAAAGUCUAAAUCAAACAGUAAGAAGGAAAUGAAUUAAUCAAGUAUAACCAGACAUUUCGAUAAACACUUCAUAUGCAACAAGUUGGUAUCAAUCAAGGACCAAGGAUUAACUAAUCCUUCCUAGGCAAACAAAAAUGACACCAAGAAAUCAGUUUAACACAUGCAGAUUUUCUAGACAGCAGCACAGCAGUUAACUGUUUUAUUCAUAACUCACAAAAUAUGCAUCCAAAAAUAGUAAACUAGGACUUUCUGGAAAGCUUAGAAAGUCCUCCACGAUUUUGGUAUUAUCAUCACAGUGAGAUUCAACAUAUAGAAAUGUCAAACAGUACUAAACGCAAUUUCUGUCCAGAUUUGGACAGAAUUCGGCCACUCACUUUAAAAUUCCGUAACUGGAGUUUCAGCCAUCCAAAUCAGGUGAUCCUAGACUUUUUAGAAAGCUAAUAUAAUUGUCUACAAUUCAUUUAUAAUCAUCUCAAGGUGAUUCAAUGUGUAUCAAAGUCAGUUAAUUCAAACACACAUUGUUGUCCAGAUUUUUGACAGAUUCAAACAUUACAUUUCAAACAGCCAUAACUUGAUUUCUAGACCACCAAAAGGGGUGAUCCAAGACUUUUUGGAAAGCCUAUAAAACGUACUAUAACUUCUUUAUAAUUACUAAGAGCUGAUCCUCAGUUUUACUUAAUCAAACAAUCCAAUUUUCGAAACCUAUAUAGAAUUUGGACAGAUUCUGAAACUGGACUUGGAAAAAUCACAACUCCUAAACUGCUAGUCCUAUGGUCAUGAAAUUUUAGCACAAGCAAGAUAAAGGAGUUAUCUAUAACUUUUCUAUAUAACAUUUUCACAGAAAAGAUGAUUUACUUUGCUAAACUAGCUUUAUAAUUAAAAUCGUACCUACAGCCCUAAACAGCAGGAAUUCUAGUUUAGUUCCUAUUUAAGUUAACCACACCUUACCAACUCUUUUAUCAAAGCAUCCAUUGCCUAAUUUGCAUCAUAAACCAAUCUUUAGAUCAAACAAUACUUUGGCUUCAUAAUACUAAUGCACCUAUUUCAUAACAUGAAACUAUACAAUACACCAUAUGCACAUGAUUCAUCCAUUGCACUAUUAAGAAUCCACCACAACCUUGCAUAUAUUUCUACCAUGACAUAUUGCAUAAUUUGCAUUUAAGAACUAAACUGUAACGCAUGACUCGACUACUUCAAAAUCCUGAAUCCAUUCAUUUCAUAUAAUUUGCAAUUCAAACUUAAAGUCAUAUCGCAACGAAGAACCGCUUUCAUGACACUAUGCACAUUUCAUUUAGCACAAAUAUCGACUCCCUACAAAUCAACCAUUUAUUCGAUUAACGGAAACAACGGGUCGACUUACCACAACUAAACUCAAAGCGGCGUCCACAAACACGGCGAUGGCUUUGGGUUCAGUCUUUCUAUCGGACACCUGUCAAGCCCCACCCGGAUCUCGCUUGCUUUCACCCAACAUCCGGGAUUCGCU
rnacentral:lncRNA from 1 species